rnacentral:rRNA from 1 species
CUUUCCCUCUUUCCUCCUGCCUUCCCCCUGCACGUCGACCGGAAGCACGGGUGCUUGCCCCUGGUGGCGAGUGGCGAACGGGUGAGUAAUACAUCGGAACAUGUCCUGUAGUGGGGGAUAGCCCGGCGAAAGCCGGAUUAAUACCGCAUACGAUCUACGGAUGAAAGCGGGGGACCUUCGGGCCUCGCGCUAUAGGGUUGGCCGAUGGCUGAUUAGCUAGUUGGUGGGGUAAAGGCCUACCAAGGCGACGAUCAGUAGCUGGUCUGAGAGGACGACCAGCCACACUGGGACUGAGACACGGCCCAGACUCCUACGGGAGGCAGCAGUGGGGAAUUUUGGACAAUGGGCGAAAGCCUGAUCCAGCAAUGCCGCGUGUGUGAAGAAGGCCUUCGGGUUGUAAAGCACUUUGGUCCGGAAAGAAAUCCUUGGCCCUAAUACGGUCAGGGGAUGACGGUACCGGAAGAAUAAGCACCGGCUAACUACGUG